rnacentral:rRNA from 1 species
AGAGAGUGCAAGCGUUAAUCGGAAUUACUGGGCGUAAAGCGCACGUAGGUGGAAUCUUAAGUCGGAUGUGAAAGCCCCGGGCUUAACCUGGGAAUGGCAUUCGAUACUGGGAUUCUAGAGUAUGGUAGAGGGAAGUGGAAUUUCCGGCGUAGCGGUGAAAUGCGUAGAUAUCGGAAAGAACACCAGUGGCGAAAGCGGCUUCCUGGACCAAUACUGACACUCAGGUGCGAAAGCGUGGGGAGCAAACAGGGAUUAGAGACCCUGGUAGUCCACGCCGUCAACGAUGAGAACUAGAUGUUGGGGGGGGUUACCCCCUUGGUAUCGAAGCUAACGCGUUAAGUUCUCCGCCUGGGGAGUACGGCCGCAAGGUUA